rfam:Saccharothrix sp. ALI-22-I Contig58, whole genome shotgun sequence.
GAAGGAUGUUGGCCCUUCGGAGUCGCCCUGCGGGGGUGAUUUCAAACCGCCCACUGCCGCAUUAGCUGAAGACCGUUGUGGUGAGCGACGUGGGAAAAGGCGCACCAGAUGCGUCAGGU